rnacentral:rRNA from 1 species
AGAGAGAGACAUGCGCGCAUAUCAAUAAGCGGAGGAAAAGAAACUAACAAGGAUUCCCUUAGUAACGGCGAGUGAAGCGGGAAGAGCUCAAAUUUGAGAUCUUCAAGGUUUUACCUUGACGAAUUGUAGUUUAAAGAAGUGUUUUCUGCUGAAGUUUUGGUAAAAGUUCUUUGGAAUAGGACAUCAUAGAGGGUGAGAAUCCCGUAUUUGACCAUUAUUUUCAGCUUUGUGAUACACUUUCAAAGAGUCGGAUUGUUUGGGAAUGCAGUCCAAAAUGGGUGGUAAAUUUCAUCUAAAGCUAAAUAUUGGCGAGAGACCGAUAGCGAACAAGUACCGUGAGGGAAAGAUGAAAAGAACUUUGAAAAGAGAGUUAAACAGUACGUGAAAUUGUCAAAAGGGAAGCGUUUGACACCAGUGUUGUUUUCUCGAAAAUCAAUUAAAAAUGGCUCGAUUUUGUAUUGUUGAGACCUUAAAAGCUCACUGUACAUUUUUCGUGUCUUUUUUAAUGCACUUUUCGUUUAACAAGUCAACAUCAGUUUCCUUUUGUUGUAAAAGGGUCAUUGGAAGGUGGCUUUCUUUUCGGAGAAAGUGUUUUAUAGCCUUUGGCCUCUGCAAUCGAAGAGACUGAGGUCUGCAGCGUAGACUCUUCGGGGUUAGAUACAUUUGUGCUAAGUUAUAGCUUUUUAUAGACAACUUGUUGACUAUAAUUAGUCUUGUAGCUUACUCGCUUAUGCUAUUUUACCUACGCUUAGGAUGUUGAAGAUGUAGCACAUCAU